UACGGGGGGGGCAAGCGUUGUUCGGAAUUACUGGGCGUAAAGGCUCGUAGGUGGCCGACUAAGUCGGACGUGAAAUCCCUCGGCUUAACCGGGGAACUGCGUCCGAUACUGGAUGGCUUGAGUUUGGGAGAGGGACGCGGAAUUCCAGGUGUAGCGGUGAAAUGCGUAGAUAUCUGGAGGAACACCGGUGGCGAAGGCGGCGUCCUGGAC
rnacentral:rRNA from 1 species